GAAGUGGUCUGGAUGAGCGCGCCGAUUUCGAUCGGUGAGGAAAGUCCGAGCUCCGCAGGGCAGGGUGCUGGGUAACGCCCAGGGGGGGUGACCCCAUAGACAGUGCCACAGAAAACAAACCGCCUGCCCUCAGGGGCAGGUAAGGGUGAAAUGGUGAGGUAAGAGCUCACCGCGUCUUCGGCGACGGAGGCGGCACGGUAAACCUCACCCGGAGCAAGGCCAAAUAGGGGAGAAGAGGUGGCCCGCCUCGUUCGACUCCCGGGUAGGCUGCAGGAGGCGGCAGGUAACUGUCGUCCCAGAUGAAUGCUCGUCGUGUGCAUAGGAAUGGCUUGCUGUUCGUGUGCGCUGACAGAACUCGGCUUACAGGACCACUUCAGAC
rnacentral:RNase_P_RNA from 2 species